rnacentral:rRNA from 1 species
GAUGAACGCUGGCGGUAUGCUUAACACAUGCAAGUCGAGCGGGGUGCAUAGUCACCUAGUGGCGGACGGGUGAGUAACGCGUGAGAAUCUGGCCUCAGGUCCGGGACAACCACGGGAAACGGUGGCUAAUACCGGAUGUGCCAUAUUGGUGAAAGAUUAAUUGCCUGAGGAUGAGCUCGCGUCUGAUUAGCUAGUUGGUGGGGUAAAGGCUUACCAAGGCGACGAUCAGUAACUGGUCUGAGAGGAUGACCAGUCACACUGGGACUGAGACACGGCCCAGACUCCUACGGGAGGCAGCAGUGGGGAAUUUUCCGCAAUGGGCGAAAGCCUGACGGAGCAAUACCGCGUGAGGGAGGAAGGCUCUUGGGUUGUAAACCUCUUUUCUCAGGGAAGAAGAAUGACGGUACCUGAGGAAUCAGCAUCGGCUAACUCCGUG